CGGGCAGAGAAGCCUCGGCCAAACUUCUAGAGUUUUUAAACAUCUCCUUGGUUUCUUUGCGCCUCCCCCCCCCAUCUCCCCGGACGUCGAAUUUAUCCAGGCAGGUUGAGCUGACCUCCGGACUUCGACCGAGCUUCUUCAGCUUCCGGGAAAAGCCUUUCUUUUCAAGGGAGGGGCGAGGGGUGAGAAGGGAUGAGUUCGGGGAUAUUCCCCCCCCCUUUUCCUUUUACAGGCAAGGGGGCGAAGAUGAGAGUGUGUUUCUGGCUGCAGGGCAGGGGGUCUUUUUUCCCCCCCCCGAAGGCCUAUUUAUUUAUUUUUUUAAAAAACCAUACCGGCGGCGUGAUGAUUUUUAAUCCCCCCCCCCAGUUCCACGCAGCGCGCAUACGCGCGCCCAACACACACGCGCGCGCGCGCCCAAACACACACACACACUCAAGAGUUGGACGGGGCCAAACAAAACUUUGCGCCCGAAUCGUGGACCCAACCACGGAUUCCUCCUGGCGACGGCUGCAUAUAAUCUCCCUUCUUUCUGAAACUUCCGCAUUAUAAAUCAUAGAAGACAAAGUACAUUAAUGCUUAAACAUCACAGCAACCUCAGCAACAACAAAAGCAACAACACUAACAACAAAGCAGGCACAAAAACAAACAAGCAAACAAGCAUAGGAGUAGCUCCAAUCACAGGAGAAGAGAAGAAUCAUGAUUUCUUCUCCUCUUCAAGGUUUUGGAAGUGCAUCCAAAAUAACAUUCCUCCUUCUGGUCAUCAACUGUCUUUGAAAAAAAGGUCCAUCUGAAGAAGUAUCAGGUUAAACCAUUGUGAACGCCAUUGCAACAGACUCAGUCUUCUGCAUAGCCUAUCCCAACAGGGGUUAGAGGCUUAAGAAGCAAAAUAUUCGUCAUAAUUAUGAUUCAUAUGUGCAUGUAAUGCUGAGAUUCCAUAAGUAGGAUAAAGAUUGGGCUCAAAUGGAUGACAAAUGUAAAACAAGACAUUCAAGUAUAUUCUUGGCCACCUCUGUACUAAAGCAACUAAUCCAGGAGAGAAGCAACCUAGAACUAAGAAGAAAUUUCUUGACAGUGAGAACAAUUAACCAGUGGAACGCCUUGCCUCCAGAAGUUGUGGGUGCUCCAUCACUGGAGGCUUUUAAGAAGAGACUGGACAGCCAUUUAUCCAGAAUGGUAUAGGGUCUCCUGCUCAAGCAGUGAAAGUUGGGCUAAAAGACUUCCAAGGUCCUUUCCAACUGUUAUUCUGUUAAAUCUCAAAACCCUGGACUCCAUCACAAGGACUGCCCAGAUUUUUUUUUUUAUUUCUUUGGAAGACAUUCCAGGAACAAAUUUUUAUCUCCUCUAAUGGAGUGAGAACUGGGAUUUUAAAAUGCAAGAUAUUUAAUUUGCCAGGAUGUCAUUGAUUGGCCCUUGCUGCUGGCACUGAGUGGAGUCCCAACUUUUAUGUGAUCACUUUUUGUUUGAGCAAAGGAUUCAUACAAUUUUUCUGUGCACAGGAUAGACAAGACACGAGAACAGGAAGGACGUUCUGUCAUCUGUUUACUGUAUCAGGGAUUUGACAUUUUAACACCAUCCUGAAUGACCAAAAUCCUGCACAGCUUUGUUGAUGGUUCAUCUUUUCCAACUUCACUUGUAGAGAAAGAGAAGGGGUCAUAUAACUGCUUUCCAAUGAUAUUUUUGCUACAGUUUUCAGCAAUCAAACCCUAAUAGGAUUCAGCGCAGCAAUUCAAUCUUCCAUGCUGGUUUUCCCUAGCCCUUGUUGAGAAUCACGAGAGUUGAAGUCCACACCUCCAGACAGUGUCAGCACUGGGAAGCUCACUCUAGGUCUAGGCCAUUCUUCAACAACUCUUAGUUGAGCCUCUGAAAGAUCAGUACACAUGUCUAGUGUUAGUGAUUCUGUUCUUCUGUCUGAUCGAUGGAUGAAUUGAUCAAGUCUGUAAUGCCACUGGCCUCCUCUCUUCUGAAGGAAUGCACUUAAGUGUACAGGAUCUGAAUGCAAGGGGGCACCUACGGGGAAAAUCCAAAUAGUUAAACUGGCAGGAACAACUGUGCAGUGAAAGCUCUGAUCCUUUAAAUAUGCAUUGUCCAAACCCCUGCUCGAACAGGAGAACCUAUACCAGGGGUCUUCAAACUUGGCUCUUUUAUGAUUUGUGGACUUCAUCUCCCAGAAUUCCUCAGCCAGGCACGUGACUUGAAGUCCACAAGUCAUAAAAGGACCAAGUUUGAAGACUCCUGCCCUAUACCAUUCAAGAUAAAUGGUUAUCCAAGUCUCUUUUUGAAAGCUUCCAAUGAUGGCGCACUCACAAUGUCUGAGGGCAAGCUAUUCCAUUGAUUGAUUGCUCUCAACCAUUGACCUAUGGCCACAAUUGAACCCCAGAUUCCUGAAGCUAAGUGAGACAGUUGUUCAGUGAAUGUUGCCCCAUUUUAUGACUUCCUUGCUUGUUAAGUGUCUAGUUGUUAAGCGAGUCACUGCUGUUCUUAUGUUGGUAACACGGUUGUAAAGUGAA